rnacentral:rRNA from 1 species
GACGAACGCUGGCGGCGUGCUUAACACAUGCAAGUCGAACGGUGAAGCUCUACGGAGGGGGUCAGUGGCGAACGGGUGAGGAACACGUGGGCAACCUGCCCCCGGCUCAGGGAUAACUCCAAGAAAUGGGGGCGAAUACAAGAUGAGCACAGCUACCCGCACGGGAGGUGGUGAAAAGGGUUUCCGGCUGGGGCUGGUCCCGCGGCCUAUCAGCUUGAUGGUGGGGUAGUGGCCUAGCAAGGCGACGACGGGUAGCCGGCCUGGGAGGGUGACGGGCCACACUGGGACUGGGCCACGGCCCGGACCCCUACGGGAGGCUGCAGUGCGGUAUAUUGCGCCCUGGGCGGGCGCCUGACGCAGCGACGCCGCGUGGGGUAUGACGGCCUUCGCGUUGUAAACCUCUUUCAGCCCGGACCAUUCGCACGUGACGGUACCUGCAGAAUAAGCACCGGCCAACUACGUG